GAUUUCUGGUUGACCACCCUGGCCCGCUUCUUUCGGGAAGUGAGUGCUGGUGUGAGUCUUCCAUCCUUCUAGAGAGCCGUGCCUGCUGUUCACUCAGCUGGGCGUGUGCGAUCUAGAUCUUUUACUUUGAAAAAAUUAGAGUGUUUAAAGCAGGCUUACGCUGUGAAUACAUUAGCAUGGAAUAAUAAUUUAGGACUUCGGUUCUAUUUUGUUGGUUUCUAGGACUGAAGUAAUGAUUGAUAGGGAUAGUUGGGGGUGCUAGUAUUCAGCGGCCAGAGGUGAAAUUCUCGGAUUCGCUGAAGACUAACUUAUGCGAAAGCAUU
rnacentral:rRNA from 1 species